AGCGAACGCUGGCGGCAGGCCUAACACAUGCAAGUCGAACGAAGUCUUCGGACUUAGUGGCGGACGGGUGAGUAACACGUGGGAACGUGCCUUUAGGUUCGGAAUAACUCAGGGAAACUUGUGCAAAUACCGAAUGUGCCCUUCGGGGGAAAGAUUUAUCGCCUUUAGAGGGGCCCGCGUCUGAUUAGCUAGUUGGUGAGGUAAUGGCCCACCAAGGCUACGAUGAGUAGCCGGUCUGAGAGGAUGACCAGCCACAUUGGGACUGAGACACGGCCCAAACUCCUACGGGAGGCAGCAGUGGGGAAUCUUGCGCAAUGGGCGAAAGCCUGACGCAGCCAUGCCGCGUGGAUGAUGAAGGUCUUAGGAUUGUAAAAUCCUUUCACCGGUGAAGAUAAUGACUGUAGCCGGAGAAGAAGCCCCGGCUAACUUCGUGCCAGCCGCCGCCGUAAAAC
rnacentral:rRNA from 1 species